UUUAUGGAGAGUUUGAUCCUGGCUCAGGAUGAACGCUGGCGGCGUGCCUAAUACAUGCAAGUCGAGCGAACGGACGAGAAGCUUGCUUCUCUGAUGUUAGCGGCGGACGGGUGAGUAACACGUGGAUAACCUACCUAUAAGACUGGGAUAACUUCGGGAAACCGGAGCUAAUACCGGAUAAUAUUUUGAACCGCAUGGUUCAAAAGUGAAAGACGGUCUUGCUGUCACUUAUAGAUGGAUCCGCGCUGCAUUAGCUAGUUGGUAAGGUAACGGCUUACCAAGGCAACGAUGCAUAGCCGACCUGAGAGGGUGAUCGGCCACACUGGAACUGAGACACGGUCCAGACUCCUACGGGAGGCAGCAGUAGGGAAUCUUCCGCAAUGGGCGAAAGCCUGACGGAGCAACGCCGCGUGAGUGAUGAAGGUCUUCGGAUCGUAAAACUCUGUUAUUAGGGAAGAACAUAUGUGUAAGUAACUGUGCACAUCUUGACGGUACCUAAUCAGAAAGCCACGGCUAACUACGUGCCAGCAGCCGCGGUAAUACGUAGGUGGCAAGCGUUAUCCGGAAUUAUUGGGCGUAAAGCGCGCGUAGGCGGUUUUUUAAGUCUGAUGUGAAAGC
rnacentral:rRNA from 1 species